rnacentral:rRNA from 1 species
GACGAACCGUGCGAACGUUGUUCGGAAUCACUGGGCUUAAAGGGCGCGUAGGCGGGCGGUAAAGUCGGUGGUGAAAUCCUUCAGCUUAACUGGAGAAGCGCCUCCGAUACUGACUGUCUCGAGGGAGGUAGGGGCAUGUGGAACUCAGGGUGGAGCGGUGAAAUGCGUAGAUAUCCUGAGGAACGCCGGUGGCGAAAGCGACGUGCUGGACCUCUUCUGACGCUGAGGCGCGAAAGCCAGGGGAGCAAACGGG